UUUAUAAGCUAUGAAUACAACAAUGGAUAUAAACAUAAUUAAAUGCUCACAUUGUGAUAGUGUGGAUCCAAUAUCCUCAUGUACU